rnacentral:lncRNA from 13 species
AUGCUUAGCACCAGGCCUGCUAUGGCCGUGCUGCCCACUCUCCUUCUCCUCCAGGGCCAGGAAGGCUGUGCCUAUUGCACUUGCGGUUUUACUGACUUCACUGACUACAGAGCUCAAUCCUCUCUCCUCCCAGCUGCUCCAGAGCUCCUCCCCCACCUUCCACAACGCUUGCUCAACUUUCAACUUCGGAGUGCCUGCUCUGCAUGGAGCCAUGACUAUCCCCAUUCUAAAGAUGAGAAAACAGGAGCUCAGAAAGCUCAGCUCGAGACAGACGGCAGCAGCAAAUCCAAACCUUGCAGUCUGAUGGGAAAUACAGGAUGGGAGACCCAGCCAGAAAAAUUGAGAUCUGAAGGCAGAGGCAAAGAGUAA